AGCGCAGGCGGUUUCUUAAGUCUGAUGUGAAAGCCUUCGGCUCAACUGAAGAAGUGCAUCGGAAACUGGGAAACUUGAGUGCAGAAGAGGACAGUGGAACUCCAUGUGUAGCGGUGAAAUGCGUAGAUAUAUGGAAGAACACCAGUGGCGAAGGCGGCUGUCUGGUCUGUAACUGACGCUGAGGACUCGAAAGCAUGGGUAGCAAACA
rnacentral:rRNA from 1 species